UGAGUACGAGAUGCUACGGCAUCGAAGCAGUCUAUGUCAUACUUCCAAGAAAAGCUUGCACUGUCAUAAACAAAGAAUGCCUGUACCAUAACCGACACAGGUGGGUAGGUAGAGUAUACUAAGGGGCGCGAGAUAACUCUCUCUAAGGAACUCGGCAAAAUGACUCCGUAACUUCGGGAGAAGGAGUGCCUUAUUUCUAAGGUUGCAAUAACAAGAUCCAAGCAACUGUUUACCAAAAACACAGGUCUCCGCUAAGUCGUAAGACGAUGUAUGGGGGCUGACGCCUGCCCAGUGCCAGAAGGUUAAAGAAGUUGGUUAGCAUUAGCGAAGCUGAUAACUGAAGCCCUGGUGAACGGCGGCCGUAACUAUAACGGUCCUAAGGUAGCGAAAUUCCUUGUCGGGUAAGUUCCGACCCGCACGAAAGGCGUAAUGAUUUGGAUACUGUCUCGGAGAGGGGCUCGGUGAGAUAGACUUGUCUGUGAAGAUGCGGACUACCUGCACCUGGACAGAAAGACCCUAUGAAGCUUUACUGUAACUUGAGAUUGAAAUUGGACUUUAUUUGCGCAGUAUAGGUGGAGGCGUUGAGAAUAAUCUUGCGGGAUUGUUGGAGCCAUCAGUGAGAUACCACUCUUGUAAUGUUAGAUUUCUAACUUUGUAUCAUUAUCUGGUCAAAGAACAGUUUCAGGCGGGCAGUUUGACUGGGGCGGUCGCCUCCCAAAGGGUAACGGAGGCGCACAAAGGUUUCCUCUGAACGGGUAGAAAUCGUAUCUAGAGUGUAAAGGCAUAAGGAAGCUUGACUGUGAGACCUACAAGUCGAGCAGGGACGAAAGUCGGUCUUAGUGAUCUGACGGUGCUGAGUGGAAAGGCCGUCACUCAACGGAUAAAAGUUACUCUAGGGAUAACAGGUGAUCUCCCCCAAGAGUUCACAUCGACGGGGAGGUUUGGCACCUCGAUGUCGACUCAUCGCAUCCUGGGGCGGUAGUCCGUCCCAAGGGUUGGGCUGUUCGCCCAUGAAAGCGGUACGCGAGCUGGGUUCAGAACGUCGUGAGACAGUUCGGUCCAUAUCCGGUGUAGGCGUUAGAAUAUUGAGAGGAGCCUUCUCUAGUACGAGAGGACCGAGAAGGACAUACCUCUGGUGUACCAGUUAUCGUGCCAACGGUAAACGCUGGGUAGCUAUGUAUGGAGUGGAUAACCGCUGAAAGCAUCUAAGUGGGAAGCCCACCUCAAGAUAAGUAUUCUCAUCUA
rnacentral:rRNA from 1 species